ACGGCAGGUUAAGCGUUGCAGGAAGCGUAGAGAGGAGCCGGUCUCCAGUGCGCUGGAGGACGGACUUUGUGGUAGGGUGAUUAAGGAAGCCUGAAUCGCUUUGCACGGGGAAACUUGGGGCGUCGGUCGUUGUUAUUGCAAACGCCCCCCGUUCCCCCUUUGCGUGCAUGCUGCCUUUUGUGUUGUUUUGGGUCGCUUUGUCUGCCUCUGCGGUCAUGUGCUAGAGAGAGCAUCGGAUCCAGUGGGAGAAUCGCUGGAGAUCUAUGGAUGGCAGGUCCAAGGGCUGAUUUGCAAACCCCAGAAGGUCUUUGAUAGGAGGAAGAAAAGGCAGACGUUUUGAUACUGAGAAAAUGCCCAUUGAUCAUCUGGCAUUCUUAGAGCUCCACUAUUGAUUAGCUUAGCCUGAGCAAGGACAGCACUUUCAAUAAACACUCAACUCAAGUUAUCAUAUUUUUCGGAGUAUAAGACGCUCUGGAAUAUAA